rnacentral:rRNA from 1 species
UACGAAGGGGGCUAGCGUUGCUCGGAAUCACUGGGCGUAAAGGGUGCGUAGGCGGGUCUUUAAGUCAGGGGUGAAAUCCUGGAGCUCAACUCCAGAACUGCCUUUGAUACUGAGGAUCUUGAGUUCGGGAGAGGUGAGUGGAACUGCGAGUGUAGAGGUGAAAUUCGUAGAUAUUCGGAAGAACACCAGUGGCGAAGGCGGCUCACUGGCCCGGUACUGACGCUGAGAUACGAAAGCGUGGGGAGCAAACAGG